rnacentral:rRNA from 1 species
CACACGGUGGAUGCCUUGGCAGUUAGAGGCGAAGAAGGACGUAUGAGCCUGCGAAAAGCUUCGGGGAGUCGGCAAACAGACUUUGAUCCGGAGAUGUCUGAAUGGGGAAACCCACUUACCAUAAGGUAGGUAUUGCAACAUGAAUACAUAGUGUUGCAAGGCGAACGAGGGGAAGUGAAACAUCUCAGUACCCUUAGGAAAAGAAAUCAAUUGAGAUUCCCUCAGUAGCGGCGAGCGAAAGGGGAAGAGCCCAUUAAGUCAUAUAAGUUCUAGUGGAACGCUCUGGGAAGUGCGAC